GAUGAACGCUGGCGGUCUGCUUAACACAUGCAAGUCGAACGGAAUCCUUCGGGAUUUAGUGGCGGACGGGUGAGUAACACGUGAGAAUCUGCACUCAGGAUGGGGACAACAGCGGGAGACUGCUGCUAAUACCCAAUGUGCCGAAAGGUAAAAGAUUUAUCGCCUGAGAAUGAGCUCGCGGCCGAUUAGUUAGUUGGUGGGGUAACGGCCUACCAAGACGGCGAUCGGUAGCUGGUCUGAGAGGAUGAGCAGCCACACUGGGACUGAGACACGGCCCAGACUCCUACGGGAGGCAGCAGUGGGGAAUUUUCCGCAAUGGGCGCAAGCCUGACGGAGCAAGACCGCGUGGGGGAGGAAGGCUCUUGGGUUGUAAACCCCUUUUCUCAGGGAAGAAGUUCUGACGGUACCUGAGGAAUCAGCCUCGGCUAACUCCGUGCCAGCCGCCGCAGUAAAAC
rnacentral:rRNA from 1 species